rnacentral:lncRNA from 1 species
AGGAAAACAGCCUGUUCGUUUCAUGGAAGGACGUUUUGGAAAAAUAGAUCCAGACCUAUGUAGAAAGGUAUGACAGCUACCUUAAUUCAUCCAUCGUUUCCCACUUCAUGCUAAAAAGUGGUAACAUUGCAUGUCAGACUGAAGCAAGACACCUGAGUCUAUGUUGAGUUGUGUUUGGCCCCUUGCAAGGUUGUCAUAAAUGAUUCAUUGUUUUGGCUUAAGGGGCUUUCAGCUGGAUGACAAAGCAUAAGGACAAAAAAUAUGAAAAUUGUCAUUAAAUGUCUUCAUCAUUUAGCCUGUUUAAUCGUGCUAAGAUCUUUUAAGAAACAAUGAAUACAGAGAUUUCCAGAUUAUACUUCCAUGAAAGCCUAAAUCUUCUCAGGUAUUCACAGUUUAAAAAAAUUGAAGUAUACCAAAUGAUAUCCAAGUUUACUGUGAAAGCAAAGGGCCCAUAAAAUUUUGCAUUUACAUUUUAAUUUUAAUCUAGAGAGAAGGAGACCACAUAAGUAAAACACAAUCUAUUUCAUAGGCUGAAGCG